AUGAAGGAAAACAUCAGAAGAAGUAGGCUAAAAAAUUCGAUGUGAUCCUCACAGGGAAUAUUUGCUCCUGGUCACAGACACAAAGAAUGCAUUUCAAGCUCUUCCAAGAACUUUUGCAGUGCUCCAUCCCUGCAUCCUCAGAAAUGGCCCUAAGUCUCAGCAGCUCAAAAAGACUCCAACUGGAUAGUGAGAAGCCCUUGCUUCCUUGCAAGAAUCUUCCCAAAUUUCUCUAACCAUGUGAAGACAUGUUUGAUUCCCCUUCACCUUCACCAUAAUUGUUCUAGGAGAAUAACAAAACAAAAAGAAAGAAGAUUCAGUAGAAAAGAAGAGCAAUGAAGAAGCCAAGAAAGCAACAAGAACUCUAGAAAGAGACUCAGCAAAGAAAGAAAUAGAAACAGUAAUUUCA